UAGGAAGUUACUAGAUUGUUUUUGUUGUUAUUAACCACAGGAAAAAAGGCUUAAAUUACACAUCAGUUAAAACGACGACAACAUUCUCCUCCACUUGUGCUCUACAGUGAGGGGCAGAUGAAUGGCCUUUGGCUGUUGCAGCAAAAUAGAGGCAGUCCCCAAAUGAAGAGCAAUUGUAUUCCUUUAAUUCAGUCAUAAAUCAACUCUCAAUUCUAUGAGAUUUUUCACAGAAGAACGGAGCGCCUCAAAAGUGGAUCAAGGCAGAAAUGGAUGUGGAAAUUAUCAUCCUGUACCUUUGAGGUAAAGAGGCUUCUACAGCUCUGGCAUGAGCUACCACAGGUCAUAACCAUUAGGAAAGAAACUGGAAUGUUACCAUGCCAGGCUUUGUAAGUAUUCUGUUAGUUCUCCUCUAUAUUGAUUAAAGUUCGUAAAGUCAAUACCUGGAACAGCCCAGAGGGAAAAUACUUUACCUGUUCUCUUACUUCCCAAGAUACCACAUUUAUUAUCUAAGUCGCACAGGUUAUCAGAUAAACUUGCAGGUUUUUGUUUUAUGAAGAAACAAUAAUCCCCAGGCUACUUUCCAGCAUCCUCUACUGUUACUCUACAAAAUCUUCCUUGGUGACAUCAUCCACUUCUCUGUCUUUGCUGGUUACCCGGUGCUGACAGCUGCUCCCUGCAAGGUGCAGGUGUCUCCUAACAAUCACUAACUCCGCCUGUCGAACACCGAACUCACAGCCCCGACCUCUACGCCCUGCAUCUCCUCCACCACUCCCUCGCUGAAUGGCAUCCCCACUUCUCCUAGCCGCCCCAGACACAAACCUUCGCAGUCACCUUUCAUUUCUCCCUCUCGCUCCACAGGGUGGCCCUAAGGUAACUCGUACCUCCUGAAAAUCUCAUGAGUUAGUUCCAGCAGGAGUUUCUCAUUCCAGCUCCUCAUCUCUCAUUGUAAUCCCUAAUCCAUUCCCCUACAAUGCUACCAGAGGGACCGUGCUAAAAUGUAAUUCCAGUUAUUUUAUCCCCCUAAAAACUAAAAUCUACCAAAUGGCUCCCAAUGCCAUCAGAAUAAUGCCAAGAAGCCUUAGGAGAGAAAAUGAGAUUCUUCACGAGGACCUUGCCCAUCUCUCUAGCCUGGUCCCA
rnacentral:lncRNA from 1 species